rnacentral:rRNA from 1 species
UACGAAGGGGGCUAGCGUUGCUCGGAAUUACUGGGCGUAAAGGGCGCGUAGGCGGUCAGGUUAGUCAGAGGUGAAAGCCCAGGGCUCAACCUUGGAAUUGCCUUUGAUACUGGCUGUCUUGAGUUCGGGAGAGGUGAGUGGAAUGCCGAGUGUAGAGGUGAAAUUCGUAGAUAUUCGGCGGAACACCAGUGGCGAAGGCGACUCACUGGACCAUAACUGACGCUGAGGCGCGAAAGCGAGGGGAGCAAACAGG